rnacentral:lncRNA from 1 species
UUGCAGCGGUUGCAGGCGCGUCGCGGCCUUGCGCACCGAGGCGCCGAGGCAACCGAGGGGAAAGUGGAAACGGGCUCGCGGGCGCAGAGAGAGAGAGAUUGUGAAGAGGAAGGGGCGCUCUUUUCUGCAGCCCUUUAGGGAGCGCGACUCAGCGCCAUGAGGAAGGAGAGAGGGGGAAUAUAAAGAAGACAGAGAAGAAAAGGGGGCGAGAGGUUCGCGGAGUUGCCGAGUCCUCGGCUGUCGGCGGUAGCAAAGCGGAUACCAAGCGGCGCACGUGCAACGCCCUCUCCUCCAGAAACGGCGUGCGCAUGGCGCGCCCUGGCGCGCAGUCAGCUUUGCGCGCCUUGCUGGAGGAUGCGCGGCGGGAGUUUUGAACUGCUAAAUAGUUGUCGCGUUGCGCACCAUCUCAAAUUCGCGUUGUGCACUGUCGUGACAUCGGCUCAAAAUUUUAUUUCCUAACAAAAUUUGUUCGUUAUAUCCCAUAACAGGCAAAUUUUACCUCGCUAAAACGAGGUUUUUAAUACAUUGGUUUCUAUGGGGACUUUCAAGGGGAAUUACGAUUUGCUCGUUAUAUCCAUUAUUUCGUUAUAGCCCGUCUCGUUAUAACGAGGUUUAACUGUACUAUUCAUUUCGGCUUGCCCGGCCUUUAUACA